rnacentral:rRNA from 1 species
UAGGGAAUAUUGGUCAAUGGGCGAGAGCCUGAACCAGCCAUGCCGCGUGCAGGAAGACGGCCUUCUGGGUUGUAAACUGCUUUUAUACGGGAAGAAAAGGGUCCUGCGGGACACAUUGCCGGUACCGUACGAAUAAGCACCGGCUAACUCCGUGCCAGCAGCCGCGGUAAUACGGAGGGUGCAAGCGUUGUCCGGAUUUAUUGGGUUUAAAGGGUACGUAGGCGGCCUAAUAAGUCAGUGGUAAAAUCCUACAGCUCAACUGUAGACGGUCCAUUGAUACUGUUAGGCUUGAGUACUGUUAAGGUAGGCGGAAUUGAUGGUGUAGCGGUGAAAUGCAUAGAUACCAUCAGGAACACCGAUUGCGAAGGCAGCUUACUGGGCAGUAACUGACGCUAAUGUACGAAAGCGUGGGGAGCGAACAGGAUUAGAUACCCCCGUAGUCC